rnacentral:rRNA from 1 species
UACGUAGGGGGCAAGCGUUAUCCGGAUUUACUGGGUGUAAAGGGAGCGUAGACGGCGAAGAAAGUCUGAAGUGAAAGCCCGCGGCUCAACCGCGGAACUGCUUUGGAAACUUUUUUGCUGGAGUACCGGAGAGGUAAGCGGAAUUCCUAGUGUAGCGGUGAAAUGCUUAGAUAUUAGGAGGAACACCAGUGGCGAAGGCGGCUUACUGGACGGUAACUGACGUUGAGGCUCGAAAGCGUGGGGAGCAAACAGG